GACAGAGGAUGCAAGCGUUAUCCGGAAUCACUGGGCGUAAAGCGCACGUAGGCGGAUUUUAAGUCAGGGGUGAAAUCCCGAGGCUCAACCUCGGAACUGCCUUUGAUACUGGAGAUCUUGAGUCCGGAAGAGGUAAGUGGAACUGCGAGUGUAGAGGUGAAAUUCGUAGAUAUUCGCAAGAACACCAGUGGCGAAGGCGGCUUACUGGUCCGGAACUGACGCUGAGGUGCGAAAGCGUGGGGAGCGAACAGG
rnacentral:rRNA from 1 species